CUCUGUCCAGUUAGUAGAAUAAGUCAUGUAGUUAGAUAUAAAGGUGGGUUGACUCUGUCCAGUUAGUAGAAUAAGUCAUGUAGUUAGAUAUAAAGGUGGGUUGACUCUGUCCAGUUAGUAGAAUAAGUCAUGUAGUUAGAUAUAAAGGUGAGUUGACUCUGUCCAGUUAGUAGAAUAAGUCAUGUAGUUAGAUAUAAAGGUGGGUUGACUCUGUCCAGCUAGUAGAAUAAGUCAUGUAGUUAGAUAUAAAGGUGGGUUGACUCUGUCCAGUUAGUAGAAUAAGUCAUGUAGUUAGAUAUAAAGCUGGGUUGACUCUGUCCAGCUAGUAGAAUAAGUCAUGUAGUUAGAUAUAAAGCUGGUUUGACUCUGUCCAGUUAGUAGAAUAAGUCAUGUAGUUAGAUAUAAAGGUGGGUUGACUCUGUCCAGUUAGUAGAAUAAGUCAUGUAGUUAGAUAUAAAGGUGGGUUGACUCUGUCCAGUUAGUAGAAUAAGUCAUGUAGUUAGAUAUAAAGGUGGGUUGACUCUGUCCAGUUAGUAGAAUAAGUCAUGUGGUUAGAUAUAAAGACAAUAAGUCAUGUAGUUAGAUAUAAAGACAGUAAGUCAUGUAGUUAGAUAUAAAGACAACAUGGGGGAUCUGCUGCUGCACCUGACUUGGGUUGAUCACCUGCCAUUUUUUAUCAGAAGAUAAAGGUUUACUUUUCUGAUGUCAUGAGAUGAAUCUCAAGAGCUCUUAUUUGAUCUAUGUUACCUUCAGAAUAGAGACCUCGUGUCUUGUUCACAGGUCCUGAGAUCCAGUUAACCCUCAAAUCCUUGAAUAUUGUGCUCGUGACAGUAAUCAGUGCACUUGGGUCUGAAAGAGACAGGUAUUGUCUCGCUCUACAAAAUCAGCUGUUUUAGAAAUGGGUCUGUGAUUCUUGAGGCUGCUUUUAUCCAGAAGUUCACACGUGAAAUGCAAUAAACGGAAUAAUCUUGUCAAUGUGGUCAAGGAAAGAGGUUAUUGUUGAUUAACUAACCUUCAUAGUACUAAUACAUUGAUAUAUACUGAACAAAAAUAUAAACGCAACAUGUAAAGUGUUGGUUUCAUGAGCUGAAAUAAAAGCACACAAAAAAUGUAUUCUAUAUGCACAAAAAGCUUAUGUGUUGUGAAGGGAGGGAUAUAAAACAAAAAUUAUAAAAUUUAGAUUGUAAUUAUUUGUCAUCAUGACCCACAGCUCUCAUUCACUGUAAGAGGCACGUGUUGAAUUUGAUAAGCUGAAAUGAGCACCUGUCGGUUCAGGCUGUUUUCCUGGAAGGUGUCAGUAGUAGGGAGUGUAUGUGGUACCAUUAACAUUCAUUGACCUCUACUGUUCCAACAAUCACACAGCAGAUGGGACAUAAUCUCCUUUUAGACCCACACCAGGAUUAUUCACUGCAUCAUUUAGAUGGGUCUGAAUCGAUCUGAAAUGAAUUGCCGUUGUUGUCUUUUGUACCUAGUGGAAAUAAUGCGUUCAAAUUCACUAUCCUUGUUCUUGCAGUCUGAACUUUGUAAGUACGUUAUUGAUAUGAGCCCAAAAUCUAACUCUAACAAACACCCAACAACAUAGCAUAGGCCAGUAAACUAUCCCACAAUAUUAACUUGGUAUUUUUUGUUUGUAUUUUAUUAGGAUCAACCAUUAGCUGUUGUGAAAGUAGCAGCUACUCUUCCUGGAGUCCAACACAGAACAUGAAACAAUACAUAAUACAGAACAUUAAUAGACAAGAACAGCUCAAGGACAGAACUACAUCCCUUUUUUUUUUAAAUGGCACUCGUAGCCUACAUAUCAAUACAUACACACAAACUAUCUAGGUUAAAUAGGGGAGAGGUGUUGUGUCGUGAGGUGUUGCUUUAUCUGUUUUUUGAAACCAGGUUUGCUGUUUAUUUGAGCAAUAUUAAAUGGAACCAAGUUCCAUGCAAUAAUGGCUCUAUAUAAUACUGUACGCUUUCUUGAAUUUGUUCUUGAUUAAGGGACUGUGAAAAGACCCAUGGUGGCAUGUCUGGUGGGGUAAAUGUGUGUGUCAGAGCUGUGUGUAAAUUGACUAUGCAAACAAUUUGGGAUUUUCAACACAUUGUUUCUUAUAAAAAGAAGGGAUGCGGUCAGUCUCUCCUCAACUCUUAGCCAAGAGAGACUGGCAUGCAUAGUAUUUAUAUCAGCCCUCUGAUUACAAUGAAGAGCAAGACGUGGCUCUCUGUUCUGGGCCAGCUGCAGCUUAACUAGGUCUUUCCUUGCAGCUGACAAAACUAGCAGAACUUGUUUUUUUGGAGUGUUGUGUCAAAAAAAGCAUGGGCUACUGUGUGGUGCAGUGGUCUAAGGCACUACAUCUCAGUGCUCGAGGCAUCAAUACAAACCCUGGUUCGAUUCCAGGGUGUAUCACAACCGGCUGUGAUUGGGAGUCCCGUAGAGCGGGGCACAAUUGGCCCAGCGUUGUCUGGGUUAGGGUUUGACCGGGGUAGGCCAUCAUUGUAAAUAAAAAUGUGUUCUUAACUGACUUGCCUACAGUAGUUAAAUAAAG
ensembl:lncRNA